rnacentral:rRNA from 1 species
AUGCAACGGCAUGCGCCAGCUGAUGAGGCGAUCGACGGCCCGGGCGCGCGCCCCUCCGUUGAUGGCUCCUCGCCUUCCACGCGCACGUGCUCGGUGUCGUGCAGCUCCUCCACACCAUCAUCCCCAGCUGCUCCACCGCCUGCGCCACGGUGCAUGGUGACGCGCGCCCAGACUGGCGUUCUUCGUCCGAAUCCGCGCUACCAUGACACCAACCUCGUCGCCACUACAUCUGACGCGGUCUCGCCAGUUCCCUCGUCAGUCCGCGCCGCUGUUCGCGAUCCGCACUGGCUUGCCGCCAUGCGCGACGAGUUUGAAGCUCUUGUGCGCAACCGCACAUGCGAGCUGGUGCCUCGUCCUCCUGGCGCUAAUCUGAUCACCGGCAAAUGGGUGUUCAAACACAAGAUCAAGGCCGACAGUGCUCUCGAGCGUUACAAGGCCCGCUGGGUAGUCCGCGGGUUCCGACAACGCGCUGGUGUUGAUUACGGCGAGACCUUCUCGCAGGUCGUCAAGCCCGCCACUGUCCGCACGGUGCCGCCUCUUGCUGCGUCGCACAACUGGCCUGUCCAUCAGCUCGAUGUGUCCAACGCAUUCCUGCACGACACACUGGAAGAAGAGAUGUACUGCCUCCAACCAGCGGGCUUCGUCGAUGCCACCAAGCCUCACCACGUCUGCCGCCUCUCCAAGUCUCUCUAUGGCUUGAAGCAGGCGCCGCGCGCGUGGUUUCUCCGCUUCGCCGGCUUUCUUCAGUCCAUCGGCUUCUCCGCGAUGCGCUUCGACUCGUCGCUCUUCACACGCCGCCAUGGGAGCGACAGUGCGCUCCUACUGCUCUAUGUCGACGAUAUCAUCCUCACCGCGUCCUCGCCUGCGGCGCUCCGCCACGUUGUUGCUCAGCUCACCGGGGAGUUUACCAUGAAGGACCUCGGUCCUCUGCACUUCUUCCUCGGCAUCAGCGUCACGCGCACGCCGGCGGGCUUCUUCUGCCAGGAGCAGUAUGCUGCUGACAUUCUGGAUCGCACCGGCAUGGACACCUGUCGCCCGUCUCCCACGCCGAUCGACACCAAGGGCAAGUUGCCGACCGCGGACGGACCGCGUGUCGCUGAUCCAUUUGCCUACCGCAGCAUCGCCGGCGCUCUCCAGUACCUGACGAUCACGCGUCCGGAGAUCCCGUACGUCGUCCAGCAAAUCUGCCUACACAUGCACGAUCCCCGCGAGUGCCAUCUCGGGUUGAUCAAGCGUGUGCUCCGGUACGUGCGCGGCACGCCCGCCCUCGGUCUUCAUCUUCGCGCCUCACGCGUGCUGGACCUGCGAGCGUUCACGGACGUCGACUGGGCUGGUUCCCCGACACCCGGCGCUCCACCUUCGGCUUCUGUGUCUACCUCGGCGACGCCCUCGUCUCUUGGUCCUCGAAGCAUCAGGCCAUCGUCUCGCGCUCCAGCGCCGAGGCCGAGUAUCGUGGCGUCGCGAACGCUAUCGCCAAGUGCGUUUGGCUCCGACAGCUGCUUGGUGAGCUGUUCUCUCCCGUCGACAAGGCCACAUUGGUGUAUUGCGACAACGUAUCCGCCGUCUAUCUGUCGGCCAACCCAGUACAUCAUAGCCGGGCGAAGCACGUGGAGCUGGAUAUUCUCUUUGUUCGCGAGCGGGUGGCGCUUGGCGAAUUCCGGGUACUUCACAUCCCCACACAACAGCAGCUCGCGGAUAUUAUGA